CAAUAGCGUAUAUUUAAGUUGUUGCAGUUAAAAAGCUCGUAGUUGGAUUUCGGGUGGGACGCAGCGGUCUCGCAUUGCGUUUGUACUGCUGCAGCCCUCCUUCUUGCCGGGGGCGGCCUCUCGGACUUCACUGUCUGGGGGUCAGAAUCGGCGAUGUUACUUUGAGUAAAUUAGAGUGUUCAAAGCAAGCUUACGCUCUGAAUAUAAUAGCAUGGGAUAACACGACAGGACUCUGGCCUAUCGUGUUGGUCUAUAGGACCAGAGUAAUGAUUAAGAGGGACAGUCGGGGGCAUUCGUAUUCCGUUGUCAGAGGUGAAAUUCUUGGAUUUACGGAAGACGAACAUCUGCGAAAGCAUUUACCAAGGAUGUUUNCAUUA
rnacentral:rRNA from 1 species